AAAAGUGGCGACGAGCAGAAGAACAUAACGCGUGUGCAAAAAGUGACUAAAAACCCACUAGUUUAUUGAUUGCGACGGUGCAAAUUGGAAGCGAAUAAUCAUCGGAAACUACCAACCGCGCACAUCGUUGGUGUAGCCAUUGUGUGCUGAACUAUCUCCUAACGCCGGCGAGAAUUAAGAUAUUGAGUUUAUUCUACAACCAAUCAUCCGAAACCCGCAGACGUCGCUGAAUCGUUUUUUUAAGCAGCGUGCUAAGCAUCGAGCCUCGUUCCGGUAUUUCAGGCAAAAGGGCUCAACGGAGUCGGAUAGCUGGAUUCGAGAUAAUUCUCUCCAUCCGCUGAGGAAUUCAGUCCCUUUGGUUUUCACGGAAAUUUAGUGGUGUUCGACGGAAUCUAAAAGCAAGCCGCAGACUGGUUAAUUGUAUUUCAGGAUAUGCGUUGGAAACGUGGUGAUAAUGGCGCAAAGAUCACAGGUCAGGAUCUCUAAAUCAACAACUCAAUGGCGAGCGCCGAAUGUUUUGAUUACGAGGG